UUUCCGUAGGUGAACCUGCGGAAGGAUCAUUAUUGAAUGAAACACUUCUGGCUUUAUGCUGUUGUGCUGGCCCUUUGGGCAAUGUGCACACGGCUCUGGUCACUUGUUUCUUCUGUUGCCCCUGUGCACUGCCUGUAGACACGCUGUGUCUAUGAUAUUUGUUAACACACAACAAUGUUAGUUGGCAUGUUAUAUAUAAUAAUAAAAUAUACAACUUUCAACAACGGAUCUCUUGGCUCUC
rnacentral:misc_RNA from 1 species